UACGGGGGGAGCAAGCGUUGUUCGGAUUUACUGGGCGUAAAGGGCGCGUAGGCGGCGCAACAAGUCACUUGUGAAAUCUCCGGGCUUAACCCGGAGCGGUCAAGUGAUACUGUCGUGCUAGAGUGCGGAAGGGGCUACUGGAAUUCUCGGUGUAGCGGUGGAAUGCGCAGAUAUCAGGAGGAACACCGGUGGCGAAGGCGGGAUCCUGGGCCAGUACUGAACGGCUGAGG
rnacentral:rRNA from 1 species